CUCAGUUCGCAACUCAUUGUGUUUUGAUAAUGUUCGGCAUUGUAAAAUAAACUUUGGAAGUGUCAAUGAAAGUAAUCAUGAAUCUUUCCUUGGAGUAUUUGUUCGUCGAAACACAUUGUCAGAGUCAUUGUUGCCGUCAUGGCAGAAACACUCGGAGAAAGCUUUUCGCUGGAAGAAAUGGAGACGAUAUAUUCAUGUCGCGGCUUCUGUCUUCGAUAGAGAGCCUGCAAAAGUAUGGGUAGUUUUUGCUCAAGCGCGUGCCACGAAGAGGAUUUUGAUACAUGUAUAAACAAUAGAAGGGUUCAAGAACG